UACGUAGGGUGCAAGCGUUAAUCGGAAUUACUGGGCGUAAAGCGUGCGUAGGCGGCUAUGUAAGACAGAUGUGAAAUCCCUGGGCUUAACCUAGGAACUGCAUUUGUGACUGCAUUGCUAGAGUGUGGUAGAGGGAGAUGGAAUUCCGCGUGUAGCAGUGAAAUGCGUAGAUAUGCGGAGGAACACCAAUGGCGAAGGCAAUCUCCUGGACCUGCACUGACGCUCAUGCACGAAAGCGUGGGAGCAAACAGG
rnacentral:rRNA from 1 species